CAGUAGCGUAUAUUAAAGUUGUUGCAGUUAAAAAGCUCGUAGUUGGAUUUCUGGUUUGACAAGAAUGAGGUCGCUCGCCGUUAGGCAUGUGGCCCAGUACUCGUCUGCCAUCCUUCUAGAAAGCACGCCUACCCUUCACUGGGCGGGGCGUGUGCUCUAGAUCUUUUACUUUGAAGAAAUUAGAGUGUUCAAAGCAGGCUUGCGCUAUGAAUACAUUAGCAUGGAAUAAUAACUUAGGACUUUGGUCUUAUUUUGUUGGUCUAUAGGACUAAAGUAAUGAUUGAUAGGGAUAGUUGGGGGUGCUAGUAUUCAGCGGCCAGAGGUGAAAUUCUUGGAUUCGCUGAAGACUAACUUAUGCGAAAGCAUUCGCCAAGGAUGUCUUCUUUAAUCAAGAACGAAAGUUGGGGAUCGAAGAUGAUUAGAUACCAU
rnacentral:rRNA from 1 species